rnacentral:rRNA from 1 species
UGGGGAAUCUUGCACAAUGGGGGAAACCCUGAUGCAGCGACGCCGCGUGAGCGAUGAAGCCCUUCGGGGUGUAAAGCUCUUUCGGCAGGAACGAUAAUGACGGUACCUGCAGAAGAAGCUGCGGCUAACUACGUGCCAGCAGCCGCGGUAAUACGUAGGCAGCGAGCGUUGUUCGGAGUUACUGGGCGUAAAGAGUAUGUAGGCGGUUGCGUAAGUUUGGUGUGAAAUCUCCCGGCUUAACUGGGAGGGUGCGCCGAAAACUGCGUGGCUAGAGUGUGGGAGAGGAAAGCGGAAUUCCUGGUGUAGCGGUGAAAUGCGUAGAUAUCAGGAGGAACACCGGCGGUGUAGACGGCUUUCUGGACCAUUACUGACGCUGAGAUACGAAAGCGUGGGUAGCAAACA